UUGAUAAUCUGUUUCGUGGAAUUCUCCGUCGGUAAUAUUCUUCUGCAAAAGGAUCCUCAUUCUCCCGCGAGAGAGAAAAAAAGGGGGAAAACAUUGCGUGAGAAAUCGCGGCAAUGAUGUAACAGUCUCGCGAAAUAACUUUAGGUCUAUUUAUGGCGCGUCGCGCGAGGAGGAAAAGUACCCGAAGAAAGCGGAACCGGUGACGAAAAAUUCCCCGGGGUUGGAAACGGGGCGCGAUAAAAAGUGAACCGCCGACUACGUACCAGCACGUCACCAGUAUCUUUAUGUUUCAUAACUUUGCGGCCGGAUUGUCCCGUGAUGAAUACGUGUUCGAACCAAUCGUGAAUCACGGGAAUGGGACGACACCAGAUAACACGCUCGAUCGUCUCCUAAUCCAGACGAAACACUGCUGAUCCCGUUGUUUGCUCACAUGUCGGUCCAGACCUAUUAUUUAACUAUCGAUAAAGCUCGAUAUCUACCGAUCGAUCGGUCAAGUGGUUUAUAUAACCCGAUAGAAGGUACGUUCGCUACUCAAGAAAUGUGGAACUGCGCAUAAACCCUUUUCCCGCCAAUUAACAGUCCCUUCUGCGCAGCCGCCAUUUUAUUGCGCAUCGAAUGAAUCAUUCGCGAACAUUGUUGUGAUUUUGAUUACGCGUAGAGCUUUAUCGUUUUUAUACGACUAAAAAAGUCUAUUCGAUAAAUAAUUGGCGAAUAAUUCAUAUUCGAUUACCGAACGGUAACGUUGCAGCGCAGACACAACUGAGAUUACGGUCCCCAUGCUACAAAGUGUUGAACUUACAAAGUCCGAUCGAAUCCCUGGAAUAUUUCUGGCUGUUCUAACUCGAGUCCCGCGGUGACGAAACCGAACGACCGUUAGGUUCAUUUGAAGGUUCACGUUUCAAUAAUUCGCCGUGAUAAUCGCGGGCAGAUUAGGAAUGGUCGCGACCCUCGGCUAGUCAUGGUACAGGCAUGUUCGCGUUUCGUGACUCGGGCGAGAAAAUUGCGCAGCCGUCACGCUAUUUCGACUGUACGCCGGGUUAAAAUUAGAGUGGCGCAUCUUCUAAACGCUACAUACACUGCGACGCGUUACGCCCUUGGAACUGGUCCAAUCGUCUGCCCGCCCGAGGGACGCAAAUGGACUUCCUUUCAAGCGGGAAAUCAAACGCGUGCCCGCCGCGAGAUUUUCGAAACUGAAAACCACUUUGUUUCUGCGACGCGGCGAUCCGGAGGAGUCUAUCGACCUCGUUCGUUUCACGCGUAACCAAUCUGGUCGAAACGUUCGCAGCUGCGAGAUCUAGAUUAGGUUUAACUGCUGCGUUUAUUCACUUAACCUAACUCGCGAGCGCGCAGCGUUGCGUUCAGCAUUUCAUUUUACCGCGGUUGUUCGCUAAUUAAUUUAUCUUUCCUCGGUGAUUCGGCGAUUCGAGAUACACUGGAAUCUUUGCACGAGUGAUAGCCUCUUGACUCUCGGUGAUCUGUAUGUGGAACAAUAAGCUAUGAGACGCUGAUACACAGAUAGCCAACGUUAGAUAAAUCGCGCAACGUGACCCGCACGUAAAUAUGCAUCUCGCGUCGCCGCUCUGGCUGUUGCGCAACGAAAAUAAAAGGGAGGCCGGAUUCCGCAGAACAGGUUAAGGUUAAAAUAGGAUCAGAGGGGGGCAGCACUGAUCUAUCCCAUUCGGAACCGCAUUGUCGCCUUGUGUAAUUUCCAGGCAGAAGGGACCGCCGUAUUCAAAAGCGUGACAUAACAGCAUCGGUGAGUCACGUGUUGGCGUAGCUGCCGAAACCAAACAGCCUACGCUCUUUUUUUCAAACAAAUCGGUGUUACAUAAGCCACCGAAGGGGCAACAAACUAACGCAGGCAUCCACUCGCGUUCCUUCUGUCUCCCGUUUCCGGGAGGGAUUUUUAAGGGUCCCGAAGGUGGUCGUUAGGGGACCAGCGGGACGCGUUCGAGACCCGUUAACCGGAAGAGGCAAGUCUGAACUGGUCCAGUUAGAGUUACGACGCAUCUUUCCAUUUACACCGAUGAUUAUGG